rnacentral:lncRNA from 1 species
AUGCGGGGCUUCUUGGGUGUCACUGCCCAUGUCCUGACUACAAACAAAGGGCUGUGUCUAAAGUCCUACUUGCUGGCCUGCAGUAGGUUUCAAGGAUCACAUACAGGAGAGAGGAUCGCUGAGGCGUUUGAAGCUAUCUGUGAUGAAUAUGACAUCAGACACAAAUUGGACUGUGUGCUCUGUGACAAUGCAGCGAACAUGAAAAAGGCCUUCUCCAUCUGCUUCCCACAAGAGGAAGAAGACCAAGUAGAUGAUGAAGAGAGCCUGGACGACCCAAAUAUAUGGGAAGCUCUAUCUGCGAACGACCAAGAAACUGUUGAUCAGGCACUAACCAGAGGAAGCUACAAACGCCUACAGUGCUUUGCUCAUACCUUACAGUUGGCUAUAGGAGAUGGCCUUAAGGAAGCUAAGGUUGCAAGAAGUGCCAUGGCAAAAUGCUGCAAACUCAGUUCUCUUCUGCACUCAUCUACCUCCUUCCGAGAUGCAUUUGAAAAUAAGUUUGGCGAGAAAGGGAUCCCUGCUGCUGUGAACACACGAUGGGGUUCAACCAACGUCAACUGAAAGCAGUGCUCUCGUUUGACCAGCAGGAACUGAGCGAUGUUAUGCAGGACACAGGUUAGUGCUUGUCUGUUACUGCUGUUAUCUGAUCACAGGGUCACAUUCUAUUUCUGUGUCAUCAAACACACAGGGCUUGUUGGAGCAUCCUGACCAGCUUUAGAAUAAUAUAUGCUUUAUCUCCCUCUCUCUUUCCAUAUCUUUCUUUCUCUCUGUCUCUCUCUCUCUCUAGGUCACCAGGAGCUGAUCUUCUCUGCGAGAGAGUGGAAUCAGCUGAAAGAACUGUGUGAUAUCCUCAAGUCCUUUUCAGAAGCCACUGAUCUCACACAGGGUGAGAAGUCUGUGACUAUCAGCGCCGUUCUUCCUAGUGUGUUGUCCCUAAACAACCACCUGGAGAAACUCAAGCAGAAGGUUGGUUAUUGUUACACACACACACACACACACACACACACACUCUAAUUUAUUUAUUUGUUCAGGUUCAGUUACUGGGAGGCGUGGUCAGGUGCCUUCAGAUCUCCCUCAAAACAAGAUUCCGUGGGAUCCUGGUCAAUGUGAAAAUGGAAACUGCAGCGCCAGACGAACCACAGCCUCUACCUUUUGCAGACCCCCUGUAUAUUAGAGCAGCUGUCCUGGACCCAGAAUACUCUAUAAUGUGGCUGAAACAAGACGUCCUUGUCAACGAUGAUGUCAAGAGGGAGGUGUCUGACAUGGUGAAAGGUCAGUGAAUGUACAUAAUGUGCUUGAAUACACACCACAAGUAUGGCACUGUAUAAAUAUACGCACACCACUUAUUCUCUUCUCAAACAAACUUAGUUCACAGUGUUAUUGUCUGUGUCGGUGAUCAAAUUAUGAUCACAAAACUAGAAAUAUCAGUUAAAUGUAAAGAAUAUUUCAUGCUAUAUUAAGUGAUAAUUUGUUGUCCAUUAGAACUGAUCCUACGGGAGGUGCCAGCUGACCAGACACCUGAGACUCCAGAGGGAGAGGAGGAGCUGUUGGAGGAGGAAGGGGUUGGGCUCUACGCAGGAUACAAGAAGCGCCGCAAGCGGGACACAAUGACACCAGAAGCUCAGCUGAACAACUACCUUAGCCUUGAUACUGAUCAGACUUGUCUCACAUUUUGGGAGGCAAAUAAAAACUCCCUCCCUGCACUUUAUAAGAUUGCCAUUAGAGCACUUGCAGUGCCCGCAACUAGUGCGCCAGUCGAGAGAGUCUUUAGCCACGGUGGCAUCAUUUUGAGACCACAUCAUUCUCGCAUGAAGGGCGGCACCCUCUCAAACCUUGUGUUUCUCAAGUGCAACAAUCUGUGAAUGUACUGUAUGUAACAGAGCCACUACUUGACUCUGUAACAUAGAGGGUUAGGUUGCACAAAUAAUUUUACUUUGGAAAGGUUGAAUUUACCCAGCUCUUAUUUCUUUUAUAACGCUUAUCUUUAAAAUAUGUUGAUAUCUCUUUAGAAUUUUCUGACAAAAUAAUACUCAUAGUGGAGUGACUGUCAGUCCAUGCAAACAUCUUGACAAAAGAUGAAUCCCUUAAAUGGAUGGUCCUUUAUUUUAAGUUAUGUUUAUAUUUAAGCUCCUGCUCUGUGCUGUUUAGUUUACAUUGCACUUUGUUUGCACUGAUCAUAAUUUUGUUUGCCUUUGUAAAGGUAGCUACCUCGAAUGUAAAACAAAAAGAUUGCAAUUUAAAUGUUGCAAAUGUACCAAAUAAACAUUUUUUUUGUGUCAAACAUGCCAUUUCUUUAAUGGAAUGUAGCCUAGCCUUUGCCAUCUACCUAGGUCUAAAUGAUCAAACAUGUAAUGGAUAAAUGUAUAGCUUUUAAGCUUUAUGCUGGUGUAAUCCAUGCAGAGUUGCAGACUAAUCUGCAUGGUAUU